CUCCUACGGGAGGCAGCAGUGGGGAAUAUUGGACAAUGGGGGGAACCCUGAUCCAGCCAUGCCGCGUGUGUGAAGAAGGCCUUAUGGUUGUAAAGCACUUUAAGCGAGGAGGAGGCUACUUUAGUUAAUACCUAGAGAUAGUGGACGUUACUCGCAGAAUAAGCACCGGCUAACUCUGUGCCAGCAGCCGCGGUAAUACAGAGGGUGCAAGCGUUAAUCGGAUUUACUGGGCGUAAAGCGCGCGUAGGCGGCUAAUUAAGUCAAAUGUGAAAUCCCCGAGCUUAACUUGGGAAUUGCAUUCGAUACUGGUUAGCUAGAGUGUGGGAGAGGAUGGUAGAAUUCCAGGUGUAGCGGUGAAAUGCGUAGAGAUCUGGAGGAAUACCGAUGGCGAAGGCAGCCAUCUGGCCUAACACUGACGCUGAGGUGCGAAAGCAUGGGGAGCAAACAGGAUUAGAUACCCUGGUAGUCCAUGCCGUAAACGAUGUCUACUAGCCGUUGGGGCCUUUGAGGCUUUAGUGGCGCAGCUAACGCGAUAAGUAGACCGCCUGGGGAGUACGGCCGCAAGACUAAAACUCAAAUGAAUUGACGGGGGCCCGCACAAGCGGUGGAGCAUGUGGUUUAAUUCGAUGCAACGCGAAGAACCUUACCUGGCCUUGACAUAGUAAGAACUUUCCAGAGAUGGAUUGGUGCCUUCGGGAACUGUGAGACAGGUGCUGCAUGGCUGUCGUCAGCUCGUGUUGUGAAAUGUUGGGUUAAGUCCCGCAACGAGCGCAACCCUUAUCCUUUGUUGCCAGCGGUCCGGCCGGGAACUCAAAGGAGACUGCCAGUGAUAAACUGGAGGAAGGUGGGGAUGACGUCAAGUCAUCAUGGCCCUUACGAGUAGGGCUACACACGUGCUACAAUGGCGCAUACAAAGAGAAGCGACCUCGCGAGAGCAAGCGGACCUCAUAAAGUAUGUCGUAGUCCGGAUUGGAGUCUGCAACUCGACUCCAUGAAGUCGGAAUCGCUAGUAAUCGUGGAUCAGAAUGCCACGGUGAAUACGUUCCCGGGCCUUGUACACACCGCCCGU
rnacentral:rRNA from 1 species